GAGAAGAUCAACAGGUGCGGGCGGGGAGCGGGGGGGGGACAGCUCAUUACUAGCUGAAUCCAUGCAGCCCACAGAUCGCGAGGGAGGUGUGGCCUUAGCCUUUGCCUUGGACGCUCUGCGCCCUGCCGGGAUGGGAGGGCGGGGAGGGGGUGGGGACGAGGCGGGAGCGGGAGGGGAACGGGCCGGUGGUAAACGGGGAGGCAGGCAGUGUCGCGUGCAUGGGUGUGCAGGGUGCGUGCUUGGGGUCGUAAGAUGCGGAGCAGGACCCUGGGCAGGCGCCUGAGCUGAGCAGCACUCGCCACAAUGCUGACCUGUGGGGUGUGUUGACGUGUUCCCCUGCGCCCACCUGCGCCGCAGCGAGACGCAGUCCUGGAUGUUGGCGCCGGACGGGCCCACGCAGGCGCCGUCCUUCCUGCGCGGCGGCUCGGCCAUCGUGUGGGCGCGAGCCUUCUCCGCGUCAG
rnacentral:lncRNA from 1 species